rnacentral:rRNA from 1 species
GACGAACGCUGGCGGCGUGCCUAAUACAUGCAAGUAGAACGCACAGUUUAUACCGUAGCUUGCUACACCAUAGACUGUGAGUUGCGAACGGGUGAGUAACGCGUAGGUAACCUGCCUGGUAGCGGGGGAUAACUAUUGGAAACGAUAGCUAAUACCGCAUAAUAUUGAUUAUUGCAUGAUAAUUGAUUGAAAGAUGCUAUUGCAUCACUACCAGAUGGACCUGCGUUGUAUUAGCUAGUAGGUGAGGUAACGGCUCACCUAGGCGACGAUACAUAGCCGACCUGGGAGGGUGAUCGGCCACACUGGGACUGAGACACGGCCCGGACUCCUACGGGAGGCAGCAGUAGGGAAUCUUCGGCAAUGGACGAAAGUCUGACCGAGCAACGCCGCGUGAGUGAAGAAGGUUUUCGGAUCGUAAAGCUCUGUUGUAAGAGAAGAACGGGUGUGAGAGUGGAAAGUUCACACUGUGACGGUAUCUUACCAGAAAGGGACGGCUAACUACGUG